CGUAGACAUCCUUCCUCCCCUUUCCCUCCACACACACACACACACCACCACCACCCUCUCUCGCCGCGAGAAUGUCGGCAUCCUUCCCGGCCACGAUCUCCCCUCCUCUCGCAGGGCCGGCGAUCCAUCGCGGCCCCGCCAUCGCCCGCCUCAUCUCAGGGUCGCUUUCCCGCCGCCCGCUCCCGGCAUACACUGCCCAGACAGUCUCCGCGUCGGCUGCCUCCACGGCCCCCAAGCCCAGGGGAUUGCUCCUGCGAUGCCGGGCAGGGGAGGGGGCGGUGCCGGGGCAGGUGGAGGCACCGCUGAAGGUGAUGAUCUCAGGCGCGCCGGCCUCGGGCAAGGGGACACAGUGUCGUAUGAUUGUUGAGAAGUAUGGUUUAGUUCACAUAUCAACUGGAGAUCUUCUACGGGCUGAAGUAUCAUCUGGAUCAGAUAUUGGCAAUAAAGCAAAAGAAUAUAUGGAUAAUGGCAUGCUUGUCCCGGAUCAAGUUGUGACAGAUAUGGUUGUAUCACGACUAUCACAACCGGAUGUGCGAGAAAAAGGGUGGCUUCUUGAUGGAUACCCAAGGAGUUAUGCUCAAGCACAAAGUCUUGAAAGUAUGAAAAUAAGACCAGAUAUAUUUGUUGUAUUGGAAGUUCCUGAUGACAAUCUAAUUGAUAGAUGUGUUGGAAGAAGACUGGAUCCUGUAACAGGCAAAAUUUACCAUGUUAAGAACUUUCCCCCGGAGAAUGAGGAAAUUUCGGCCAGGCUUCUUACGCGCUCUGAUGAUACAUUUGAGAAGGUUAAAUCACGUCUUGAGACAUACAAACAAAAUUCUGAAGCUGUUCUUCCGACAUACUCAGAUUUGCUUAACCAGAUUGAUGGAAAUCGCCCAGUGGAAGUAGUUUUUCAUGAAAUAGAUUCUCUGUUACAGAAGAUACGUGCAAAUGCUUCAGAAGACAAGUUGGCCAAAUCAAAUGGAAAACCACCAGAUUCUCUGCAUACAGCAGCUUCAAAAAAUGAGUAUCGUGGAAUUCCGACGAGAUUAAAUAACAUUCCACACUCCAGAGAGAUCAGGAAAUAUUUCUAUGACGAUGUGCUACAAGCUACAAAGCGUGCUAUUGAAGAUAAAAAGACCCGGUUGCAGAUAGAUAUCAACAUUCCAGAGCUUAACCCUGAAAUGGAUGUCUAUCGUAUAGGAACCCUCAUGGAACUUGUAAGAGAUUUAUCUCUUACAUUUGCCAAUGACGGAAAACGUGUCAAGGUCUGUGUUCAAGGCUCCAUGGGGCAAGGUGCAUUUGCUGGUAUUCCACUUCAGCUUGCUGGAACGAGAAAGAUUUUGGAAAUCAUGGAUUGGGGUGACUAUGGGGCGAAGGGUGCCUUUAUUAAUAUUGGAGCAGUAGGUGCUAGUGAGGUUGAUAAAGAAGAUGACAUGUUUGUCCUCAUUGCUCCUCAGAAUGCUGUUGGAAACUGCAUAAUUGAUGAUAUGAAAGCUAUGACUGAUGCUGCUGGUAACAGACCUGUGAUUCUUGUAAAUCCUCGUCUAAAGGAUAUGCCUGCAUCAAGUGGCGUAAUGCAAACAAUGGGAAGAGACAUGAGGCUACAGUAUGCUGCAUCUUUUGAGACUUGUUAUUCUUUCCGGCUUCUCUUCUAUGCUGGCACGUUUUAUCCUAUCAUGGGUGCUUUAAGGAUGGCUUACCCAAAUAAAUAUGAGAUUUAUCGAAGGGUCGAUGAACCUAAUGGAAAAGAGAAGUACAGUUUGCUAGCUGAAUUCACGGAGAAUCCAACGGCUGAUGACAUCACCAAUGCCUUCAAAGGACCAAAAAAGAAAAAUUAUGGCUUGGUUUAAUCGUUUCUAACUCUCGAUGUCAGGGAUCCAGCACGAUUAUGUUCACAUAUCCACUUCAUCUACUGGGAAAAGGAAAAUGCAUCCUCUGGAUUCUGGGGUUUCUUGAGCGGCAUAUUGUGAGGCACAGCACUCUACUAUUGGUGCGUUUAUGCUUGAGGUUUGCUGGUUUUAUAUGUUCUCCCAAUCAGCUUAUAAUCCAGUAAAAUGCUUAUUUCCCCUUUAAUAUAUUGUCCAAUAUAUCCUUAUCGAUGUGUAGCUGCAUAUACUAGCUUGAGGGAUAAACUACUUCUGGGAGAAGGCAACCUUUUAUUUUCUAUUUUGCUACCCAUGAAGAAGGUUUGCAGAUGAUGUUGCUGGUUUUCCUUUUGUGACGAUGAAUUUGUCUUCUCCUUAGGUUGAGGAUCACAAUAUUUAUUACGGAUUGGAUGGAAUACAAUUUUCACUAAA